GCACUUGGCACAAUGGGUCAGUGCACCUGGCUGCGAUCCUGAAGGUUGGUGGUUUGAACCCACCCAGGAACG